CCUACGGGUGGCAGCAGUAGGGAAUUUUCGUCAAUGGGCGCAAGCCUGAACGAGCAAUGCCGCGUGAACGAGGAAGGUCUUCGGAUCGGAAAGUUCUGUUUAAGGGGAAAAAGAGCGGAGAGAGGAUAUGCUUUCUGAUUGAUAUUACCCUUCGAGGAAGUCACGGCUAACAACGUGCCAGCAGCCGCGGUAAUACGUAGGUGGCGAGCGUUAUCCGGUUUGAUUGGGCGUAAGGGGUGCGUAGGCGGCCUGCUAAGUCUGGAGUGAAAGGUACCGGCUCAACCGGUACAGGCUCUGGAAACUGGCGGGCUAGAGAGCAGGAGAGGGAGGUGGAAUGCCAGGUGUAGCGGUAAAAUGCGUAGAUAU
rnacentral:rRNA from 1 species